rnacentral:rRNA from 1 species
GAUGGACGCUGGCGGCGUGCCUAAUACAUGCAAGUAGAACGCUGAAGGAAGGAGCUUGCUCUUUCCGGAUGAGUUGCGAACGGGUGAGUAACGCGUAGGUAACCUGCCUGGUAGCGGGGGAUAACUAUUGGAAACGAUAGCUAAUACCGCAUAACAGUAGAUGUUGCAUGAUAUCUACUUAAGAGGUGCAAUUGCACCACUACCAGAUGGACCUGCGUUGUAUUAGCUAGUUGGUGAGGUAACGGCUCACCAAGGCGACGAUACAUAGCCGACCUGAGAGGGUGAUCGGCCACACUGGGACUGAGACACGGCCCAGACUCCUACGGGAGGCAGCAGUAGGGAAUCUUCGGCAAUGGACGGAAGUCUGACCGAGCAACGCCGCGUGAGUGAAGAAGGUUUUCGGAUCGUAAAGCUCUGUUGUAAGAGAAGAACGAGUGUGAGAGUGGAAAGUUCACACUGUGACGGUAUCUUACCAGAAAGGGACGGCUAACUACGU